rnacentral:rRNA from 1 species
AUUGAACGCUGGCGGCAUGCCUUACACAUGCAAGUCGAACGGCAGCACGGGAGCAAUCCUGGUGGCGAGUGGCGAACGGGUGAGUAAUGUAUCGGAACGUGCCCAGUCGUGGGGGAUAACGUAGCGAAAGCUACGCUAAUACCGCACACGAUCUAUGGAUGAAAGCGGGGGACCGUAAGGCCUCGCGCGAUUGGAGCGGCCGAUAUCAGAUUAGGUAGUUGGUGGGGUAAAGGCCUACCAAGCCGACGAUCUGUAGCUGGUCUGAGAGGACGACCAGCCACACUGGGACUGAGACACGGCCCAGACUCCUACGGGAGGCAGCAGUGGGGAAUUUUGGACAAUGGGCGCAAGCCUGAUCCAGCAAUGCCGCGUGCAGGAUGAAGGCCUUCGGGUUGUAAACUGCUUUUGUACGGAGCGAAAAGGCUCUCUCUAAUACAGGGGGCUCAUGACGGUACCGUAAGAAUAAGCACCGGCUAACUACGUGCCAGCAGCCGCCGUAACAC